GUUCGAUUCUGGCUCAGAUUGAACGCUGGCGGAUGCUUUACCAUGCAAGUCGAACAGCAGCGAGACUUCGAUGCUAUUUGGCGAGUGGCGAACAGGUGAGUAAUGUAUCGGAACGUGCCCUGGUAGCGGGAUAACACGCGGCGUAGCUAAUACCGCAUACGCCCUUCGAAGGAAAGCGGGGGACCUUCCGGGCCUCGCACUAUUAGAGCGGCCGAUAUCGGAUUAGCUAGUUGGUGGGGUAACGGCUCACCAAGGCGACGAUCAUAGCUGGUUUGAGAGGACGACCAGCCACACUGGGACGUGGAACGCAGCCGGAACUCUGGGAAGCGAGUGGGGAAUUUUGGACAAUGGGGAAACCCUGAUCCAGCCAUCCGCGUGUGCGAUGAAGGCCUUCGGGUUGUAAAGCACUUUUGGCAGGAAGAAACAGCGCGGGGAUAUACCCGAUGCAACUGACGGUGCCUGCAGAAUAAGCACCAACUAACUACGUGCCAGCAGCCGCGGUAAUACGUAAAGUGCAAGCGUUAAUCAGGAGUACUGGGCGUAAAGCGUGCGCGACGGUUCGGAAAGAAGAUGUGAAAUCCCAGAGCUUAACUUUGGAACUGCAUUUUUAACUACCGAGCUGAAGUAUUGUCAGAGGGAGGUGGAAUUCCGCGUGUAGCAGUGAAAUGCGUAGAUAUGCGGAGGAACACCGAUGGCGAAGGCAGCCUCCUGGGAUAGCACUGACGCUCAUGCACGAAAGCGUGGGAGCAAACGGGAUUAGAUACCCUGGUAGUCCACGCCCACAAACGUGUCAACUAGCUGUUGGGCCUUCGGGCCUUGGUACAGCUGGCGCGUGAAGUUGACCGCCUGGGAGUACGGUCGCAAGAUUAAAACUCAAAGGAAUUGACGGGGACCCGCACAAGCGGUGGAUGAUGUCAGUUAAUUCGAUGCAACGCGAAAAACCUUACCUACCGCCAGCAUAUCUGGAAUCCAGAAGAGAUUUGGGAGUGCUCGCAAGAGAAACCGGAACACAGGUGCUGCACUGGCUGUCGUCAGCUCGUGUCGUGAGAUGUUGGUUAAGUCCGCAACAGGCGCAGCCGCAUCAUUAGUUGCUACGAAGGGCACUCUAAUGAGACUGCCGGUGACAAACCGGAGGAAGGUGGGGAUGACGUCAAGUCCUCAUGGCCCUUAUGGGUAGGAGCUUCACACGUCAUACAAUCAGUUCGGGACAGAGGGUCGCCAACCCGCGAGGCCAAUCCAGCUCCGAUCGUAGUCCGGAUCGCAGUCUGCAACUCGACUGCGUGAAGUCAGAAUCAUAGUAAUCGCGGAUCAGCAUGUCGCGGUGAAUACGUUCCCGGGUCUUGUACACACCGCCGUCACACCAUGGGAGUGGGUUUUACCAGAAGUAGUUAGCCUAACCGUAAGGAGGCGAUUACCAGUAGGAUUCAUGACAGGAGUCAGAAGUCGUAACAAGAUUG
rnacentral:rRNA from 1 species